rnacentral:tRNA from 1 species
GCGGGCGUGGUUCAAUGGUAGAACAGGUCCUUGCCAAGGAUCAGACGGCGGUUCGAUUCCGCUCGCCCGCUCCA